rnacentral:rRNA from 1 species
UACGUAGGGUGCGAGCGUUGUCCGGAAUUAUUGGGCGUAAAGAGCUCGUAGGCGGUGUGUCGCGUCGGCCGUGAAAACCUGGGGCUCAACUCUGGGCGUGCGGUGGAUACGGGCAUCACUUGAGUUCGGCAGGGGAGACUGGAAUUCCUGGUGUAGCGGUGAAAUGCGCAGAUAUCAGGAGGAACACCGGUGGCGAAGGCGGGUCUCUGGACGGUUACUGACGCUGAGACGCGAAAGCGUGGGGAGCAAACAGG